AACGAACGCUGGCGGCGCGUCUUAAGCAUGCAAGUCGGACGGCAAGGGUAGCAAUACCCCUAGAGUGGCGGACUGGUGAGUAACGCGUGGGUGACCUACCCUCGAGAUGGGGAUAGCCAUUAGAAAUAGUGGAUAAUACCGAAUACGCUCUGGAUGCUCUGGCGACCAGAGGAAAUCAGGCUACGGCCUGGCUCGAGGAUGGGCCCGCGUCCCAUUAGCUAGUUGGUGAGGUAACGGCCCACCAAGGCGACGAUGGGUAUCCGGCCUGAGAGGGUGUACGGACACAUUGGGACUGAGAUACGGCCCAAACUCCUACGGGAGGCAGCAGCUAAGAAUAUUCCGCAAUGGACGAAAGUCUGACGGAGCGACGCCGCGUGGAUGAAGAAGGCCGAAAAGGUUGUAAAAUCCUUUUGCCGAUGAAGAAUAAGUGGUGUAGGGAAUGACAUCAUGAUGACAUUAGUCGGUGAAUAAGCCCCGGCUAACUACGUGCCAGCAGCCG
rnacentral:rRNA from 1 species